rnacentral:rRNA from 1 species
AUUGAACGCUGGCGGCAGGCCUAACACAUGCAAGUCGAACGGUAACAGGAAGCAGCCUGCUGCUUUGCUGACGAGUGGCGGACGGGUGAGUAAUGUCUGGGAAACUGCCCGAUGGAGGGGGAUAACUACUGGAAACGGUAGCUAAUACCGCAUAACGUCGCAAGACCAAAGAGGGGGACCUUCGGGCCUCUUGCCAUCGGAUGUGCCCAGAUGGGAUUAGCUUGUUGGUGAGGUAACGGCUCACCAAGGCGACGAUCCCUAGCUGGUCUGAGAGGAUGACCAGCCACACUGGAACUGAGACACGGUCCAGACUCCUACGGGAGGCAGCAGUGGGGAAUAUUGCACAAUGGGCGCAAGCCUGAUGCAGCCAUGCCGCGUGUAUGAAGAAGGCCUUCGGGUUGUAAAGUACUUUCAGCGGGGAGGAAGGUGUUGUGGUUAAUAACCGCAGCAAUUGACGUUACCCGCAGAAGAAGCACCGGCUAACUCCGUGCCAGCCGCCGCAGUAA